rnacentral:rRNA from 1 species
UUCUACACUGUGAAAAUUUGGCUGAGAGACUCAGACUGGUCAUGGGUAGACCUAUCUGGGGUUUGAUCGAUGCCACUCCUGGUUUCAGGAGUACCCUUCAUAAUAAACCUAGAAAUUCAGUAUUAUAAAGUUUAAUAAAAAACAACUUUUAACAAUGGAUCUCUUGGUUCUCGCAUCGAUGAAGAACGUAGCAAAGUGCGAUAACUAGUGUGAAUUGCAUAUUCAGUGAAUCAUCGAGUCUUUGAACGCAGCUUGCACUCUAUGGUUUUUCUAUAGAGUACGCCUGCUUCAGUAUCAUCACAAACCCACACAUAACAUUUGUUUAUGUGGUGAUGGGUCGCAUCGCUGUUUUAUUACAGUGAGCACCUAAAAUGUGUGUGAUUUUCUGUCUGGCUUGCUAGGCAGGAAUAUUACGCUGGUCUCAGGAUCUUUUUUUUUGGUUCGCCCAGGAAGUAAAGUACAAGAGUAUAAUCCAGUAACUUUCAAACUAUGAUCUGAAGUCAGGUGGGAUUACCCGCUGAACUUAAGCAUAUCAAUAAGCGGAGGAAAAGAAAAUAACAAUGAUUUCCCUAGUAACGGCGAGUGAAGAGGAAAGAGCUCAAAGUUGGAACCUGUUUGGCCUAGCUAAACCGGAUUGUAGACUGUAGAAGUGUUUUCCAGGCAAGCCGAGUAAAUAAGUCCUUUGGAACAGGGCAUCAUAGAGGGUGAGAAUCCCGUCUUUGGCUUGAGCAUUUGCCUUGUGUGAUACGCUUUCAAAGAGUCAGGUUGUUUGGGAAUGCAGCCUAA